CGCUUGAACUUAAAACAAUAGAGGGACACUAAGCAUGUAGACCUCAAGGCUGAGUGCUGGCGGACGCGGGUUCAAUUCCCGCCGUCUCCACCA
rfam:Marinobacter sp. T13-3 scaffold_494, whole genome shotgun sequence.